UCUCUUCAAAAGACAAGACAACUGGUAUCUUCCACCAAGAUGUCUGUUGAAAUGGAAAUGACCUUACCCACUACACCAAGGGUAAUCAUGCUUGGAAAUAGCUUGAUGUCUGCAACCCGGUGGAUGGUCAGUAUGGAGGAGAAGGUAUUUUUCCAGCCUGAGCAACUACAUGACUUUGCCAGCGUCCUUGCUGUCUUUUUUGGGUCAUAUUCUGUCUUCAAUCUGGAGUAUCAGGAGUCAGCAUCCACCGCGCUGGAGAUGAUA